rnacentral:rRNA from 1 species
GACGAACGCUGGCGGCGUGCCUAAUACAUGCAAGUCGAACGCAGUGGGGACGGGUGAGUAACACGUGGGUAACCUCCCAUCAGAGGGGAUAACACUUGGAAACAGGUGCUAAACCGAUACUGAUGGAUGAACCCGCGGUGCAUUAGCUAGUUGGUGAGGUAACGGCUCACCAAGGCCACGAUGCAUAGCCGACGUAGAGAGCGACUAUCCCCCCCUGGGACUGAGACACGGCCCAAACUCCUCCUGCCUUCUGCCUUUUUUCUUCUUCCCACCUUAACGAAAGUCUGACCUAGCAACGCCGCGUGAGUGAACACUUUUUUCCGAUCAUCACACUCUGUUGUUAGAGAAGCGGUAUCUAACCAGAAAGCCACGGCUAACUACGUGCCAGCCGCCGCGGUAAUAC